rnacentral:rRNA from 1 species
AUUGAACGCUAGCGGGAUGCCUAACACAUGCAAGUCGAACGGAGUGGCGAACGGGGGAGUGAUGUAUCGGACCGUGCCCAGGAGAGGGGGAUAAAUACGCGAAAGGGAAGCUAAUAACGCAUACUAUUGGAGCGGCCGAUAGGGGAUUAGAUGGUUGGUGGGGUAAGGGCUCACCAAGGCGACGAUCAGUAGCCGGUUUGAGAGGACGACCAGCCACACUGGGACUGAGACACGGCCCAGACUCCUACGGGAGGCAGCAGUGGGGAAUUUUGGACAAUGGGGGAAACCCUGAUCCAGCCAUCCCGCGUGUGCGAUGAAGGCCUUCGGGUUGUAAAGCACUUUUGGCAGGAAAGCGGUACCUGCAGAAUAAGCACCGGCUAACUCCGUGCCAGCAGCCGCGGUAAUAC